rnacentral:rRNA from 1 species
GACGAACGCUAGCGGCAUGCUUAACACAUGCAAGUCGAACGGAAAGGACCUGCAUUUCUGGGGUGCUCGAGUCGCCAACGGGUGCAUAACAGGUUAGUAACCUGCCCAUGACUUUAGGAUUACUUCAGAAACCUGGGACUGAUAGCGGAUUGGCGCUCCAUCUGCCUGGUAGAGGUUGGAAAGUUUCGGAGGUUGGGGAUGGACUCGCGGCUUAUCAGUUUGUUGGUGUGGUAGUGGCUUACCAAGGCUUUGACGGGUAGCCGGCCUGAGAGUGUGACCGGCCACAGUGGCACAGAGAUACGGCCCGGACUCCUACGGGAGGCAGCAGUAUGGAAUAGUGCACAAUGGGCGGAAGCCGGAUGCAGCAACGCCGCGUGAUGGAUUACAGCCUUCGGGUUGUAGACCGCUUUCGCCUGUGACGGAGCGUGAGUGAAUGUAAUGGAUAAAUAAGCACCGGCUAAUUACGUG